AGGGCGCAUGGUGAAUGCCUUGGCACUAGGAGCCGAUGAAGGACGGGACUAACACCGAUAUGCUUCGGGGAGCUGUACGUAAGCUAUGAUCCGGAGAUUUCCGAAUGGGGCAACCCAGCAGUUUUAAUCAACUGUUACCACUAGAUGAAUUCAUAGUCUAGUUGGAGGUAAACGCUGUGAACUGAAACAUCUCAUUAGCAGCAGGAAUAUAAAGAAAUUUCGAUUCCCUAAGUAGCGGCGAGCGAACGGGGAACAGCCCAAACCAAAGUGCUUGCACUUUGGGGUUGUAGGACUGAACAUUUGAGUUACCAAAGAACUUGAUAGUCGAAGGAUUUGGGAAAAUCCGCCAUAGAUGGUGAUAGCCCAGUAGAUUAAAUCAAAUUCUCUCAGUUCAGGAUCCUGAGUACGGCGGAACACGUGAAAUUCCGUCGGAAUCCGGGAGGACCAUCUCCCAAGGCUAAAUACUACCUAGUGACCGAUAGUGAACCAGUACCGUGAGGGAAAGGUGAAAAGCACCCCGGGAGGGGAGUGAAAUAGUUCCUGAAACCAUGUGCCUACAAUAAGUCAGAGCGCGUUAAUGCGUGAUGGCGUGCCUUUUGUAGAAUGAACCGGCGAGUUAUGAUCCCGUGCAAGGUUAAGACUAAAAAGUCGGAGCCGUAGCGAAAGCGAGUCUGAAAUGGGCGUUUUGAGUACGAGGUUAUAGACCCGAAACCAGGUGACCUAUCCAUGUCCAGGUUGAAGGUGCGGUAAAACGCACUGGAGGACCGAACCCGUGUAAGUUGAAAAUUGCUGGGAUGAGGUGUGGAUAGCGGUGAAAUUCCAAACGAACUUGGAGAUAGCUGGUUCUCUCCGAAAUAGCUUUAGGGCUAGCCUCGGAAUUAGGAUCAUGGAGGUAGAGCACUAUUUGGACUAGGGGCCCGUCUUGGGUUACUGAAUUCAGAUAAACUCCGAAUGCCAUUGAUUCAUAUCCGGGAGUCAGACGAUGAGUGAUAAGAUCCACCGUCGAAAGGGGAACAGCCCAGACCAUCAGUUAAGGUCCCUAAAUGUAUGCUAAGUGGAAAAGGAUGUGGAGUUGCAUAGACAACUAGGAUGUUGGCUCAGAAGCAGCCACCAUUUAAAGAGUGCGUAAUAGCUCACUAGUCGAGUGAUCCUGCGCCGAAAAUGUACCGGGGCUAAGCAUACUACCGAAACCAUGGAUGCGACCAUUAGGUCGCGUGAUAGGAGAGCGUUCUAAGGGCGGUGAAGCAAGAUCGUGAGGACUUGUGGAGCGCUUAGAAGUGAGAAUGCCGGUAUGAGUAGCGAAAGAUAGGUGAGAAUCCUAUCCACCGAAUGACUAAGGUUUCCUGGGGAAGGCUCGUCCUCCCAGGGUUAGUCGGGACCUAAGUCGAGGCCGAGAGGCGUAGACGAUGGAUAACAGGUUGAGAUUCCUGUACUAGUUAAGUGCGUUUGAGCAAUGGAGGGACGCAGGAGGCUAAGAUGUGCAUUCUGUUGGAUUAGAAUGUCCAAGCAGUAAGUCUUGUGAAGAGUCAAAUGCUUUUCACUUUAAGGACAAGCUGUGAUGGGGAGCGAAAUUUAGUAGCGAAGCGUCUGAUGUCACACUGCCGAGAAAAGCUUCUAGUGAGUACUUAACUACCCGUACCGCAAACCGACACAGGUAGUCGAGGAGAGAAUCCUAAGGUGAGCGAGUGAACUCUUGUUAAGGAACUCGGCAAAAUGACCCCGUAACUUCGGGAGAAGGGGUGCUGAUCGCAAGAUCAGCCGCAGUGAAUAGGCCCAGGCGACUGUUUAUCAAAAACACAGGUCUCUGCAAAAUCGUAAGAUGACGUAUAGGGGCUGACGCCUGCCCGGUGCUGGAAGGUUAAAAGGAUGGGUUAGCUUCGGCGAAGCUCAGAAUUGAAGCCCCAGUAAACGGCGGCCGUAACUAUAACGGUCCUAAGGUAGCGAAAUUCCUUGUCGGGUAAGUUCCGACCCGCACGAAAGGCGUAACGAUCUGGGCACUGUCUCAACGAGAGACUCGGUGAAAUUAUAUUGUCCGUGAAGAUGCGGACUACCCGCGACAGGACGGAAAGACCCCAUGGAGCUUUACUGUAGCUUGAUAUUGAGUGUUUGUACAGCUUGUACAGGAUAGGUAGGAGCCAUAGAAACCGGAACGCUAGUUUCGGUGGAGGCGUUGGUGGGAUACUACCCUCGCUGUAUGACCACUCUAACCCGCACCACUAAUCGUGGUGGGAGACAGUGUCAGGUGGGCAGUUUGACUGGGGCGGUCGCCUCCUAAAAAGUAACGGAGGCGCCCAAAGGUUCCCUCAGAAUGGUUGGAAAUCAUUCGCAGAGUGUAAAGGCACAAGGGAGCUUGACUGCGAGACAGACAGGUCGAGCAGGGACGAAAGUCGGGCUUAGUGAUCCGGUGGUACCGUAUGGAAGGGCCAUCGCUCAACGGAUAAAAGCUACCCUGGGGAUAACAGGCUUAUCUCCCCCAAGAGUCCACAUCGACGGGGAGGUUUGGCACCUCGAUGUCGGCUCAUCGCAUCCUGGGGCUGUAGUCGGUCCCAAGGGUUGGGCUGUUCGCCCAUUAAAGCGGUACGCGAGCUGGGUUCAGAACGUCGUGAGACAGUUCGGUCCCUAUCCGUCGCGGGCGUAGGAAAUUUGAGAGGACCUGUCCUUAGUACGAGAGGACCGGGAUGGACAUACCUCUGGUGUACCAGUUGUGCCGCCAGGUGCAUCGCUGGGUAGCUACGUAUGGAUGUGAUAAACGCUGAAAGCAUCUAAGUGUGAAACACACCUCGAGAUGAGAUUUCCCAUUCCUUUAU
rnacentral:rRNA from 1 species